AACUAACGCUGGCGGCGCGUCUUAAACAUGCAAGUCGAACGGAUGUAGCAAUACAUUAGUGGCGAACGGGUGAGUAACACGUAGGUAAUCUACCUCUGAGUCUGGAACAACCUGAUGAAAAUCAGGCUAAUACUGGAUAGUAUUAAUUUGGCGAAUGUCGGAUUAAUUAAAGCAUUUAUGCGCUGAGAGAUGAGCCUGCGGCUGAUUAGCUAGUUGGCGGGGUAAAGGCCCACCAAGGCGACGAUCAGUAGCCGGCCUGAGAGGGUGAACGGCCACAUUGGGACUGAGACACGGCCCAGACUCCUACGGGAGGCAGCAGUAGGGAAUCUUGCGCAAUGGGCGAAAGCCUGACGCAGCAACGCCGCGUGCGGGAUGACGGCCUUCGUGGUUGUAACCGACUUUCACGCAGGGACGAAAAUAGACGGUACCUGCAGAAGAAGA
rnacentral:rRNA from 1 species